UACAGAGGUCUCAAGCGUUGUUCGGAUUCAUUGGGCGUAAAGGGUGCGUAGGUGGCGAGGCAAGUCAGGUGUGAAAUCUGCGGGCCUCACCCGAACUGCAUCUUGAUACUGCCUUGCUAGAGUACUGGGAGAAGGAGAUUGGAAUUUACGGUGUAGCAGUGAAAUGCGUAGAUAUCGUAAGGAAGACCAGUGGCGAAGGCGAAUCUCUGGACAGUUACUGACACUGG
rnacentral:rRNA from 1 species